rnacentral:sRNA from 3 species
CUUCAUGCAUCCUCGCGACUAAUGACAACCCUAACCCGCCCCAUUGCGGAUAAAGCCUCUCAUUAGCCGCGCGAACCUCUGCAGUGAAGACAUACAUGGCAACAAUACAUUAGUUUACUGCCAAUUGCUGCCGCCUGGUUGAAAAAAGGGGCCAUAAAGGCCCCUUCUU